GUAGUCUCGCACAGAUGCAUAUCAAUAAGCGGAGGAAAAGAAACUAACAAGGAUUCCCCUAGUAACGGCGAGUGAAGCGGGAAGAGCUCAAAUUUGAAAUCUUAAAGGGUUUCCCUUUACGAAUUGUAGUUUAAAGAAGUGUUUUCUGUUGAGGUUUGGUAAAAGUUCUUUGGAAUAGGACAUCAUAGAGGGUGAGAAUCCCGUAUUUGACCUUUACUUUCAACUUUGUGAUACACUUUCAAAGAGUCGGAUUGUUUGGGAAUGCAGUCCAAAAUGGGUGGUAAAUUUCAUCUAAAGCUAAAUAUUGGCGAGAGACCGAUAGCGAACAAGUACCGUGAGGGAAAGAUGAAAAGAACUUUGAAAAGAGAGUUAAACAGUACGUGAAAUUGUCAAAAGGGAAGCGUUUGACACCAGUGUUGUUUUUCUGAAAAUCAAUUAAAGAACUGUUUAUGCUAAGCUGUUUAGACUUUAUCAGCUAUCUGUUUAGUUUUGAGCUUUUCUUUAAUGCACUUUUCAGUUAACAAGUCAACAUCAAUUUCUUUUGCUGUAAAAAAGCUUGAGGAAGGUGGCUUGAGAUUCGUCUUAAGUGUUUAUAGCCUCUUGCCUAUGCAGUCGGAGAGAUUGAGGUCUGCAGCGUAGAUCCUUCGGGGCUAAAUGCAUUUGUGCUAAGUUAUAGCAUUUCAUAGACAACUUGUUGACUAUGAUUUGAUCUUGUAGCUUACUCGCUUAUGUUAUUUUACCUACGCUUAGGAUGUUGACAGCAGUAUAGACUGU
rnacentral:rRNA from 1 species